rnacentral:lncRNA from 1 species
UGCGAAGCUUUCUUUCUGAGAAAUCCGCACUUUUGUAGCGUCAUGCUAAUUCUGGUGGAUGAAAAUUUUCCCCUUUCAUGACUGAAACAGACAUAACGGCGAAAGUAUAGCAUUAGGUGAACACUAGAAAUUUAUUAGUUCCUGCCAAAUGAAAGAAAUCUCUUCUCGCGAACUCCAACAACACUUUUUUUUUUCUCUCGGUCGCCUUAUACAAAAUUUGUAGCCAGCACACUAUUACACGAGAUUUUCUUUUGUUGUUAUUGCUAUUGUUUAAACGUCGGCGUCGCCAGCGGAGCGAUGCCUUACAGACGGGAUGUACAUGGAAGCUCACUAAAUAGCAGUCUUCGUUUAAACAAGGUUCUUCACUGCACUCGGAAACAGCCAUUUCUGGACAUAUUGUA